UGGGGCGUGGCCAAGUGGUAAGGCAACGGGUUUUGGUCCCGCUACGCGGAGGUUCGAAUCCUUCCGUCCCAG
rnacentral:tRNA from 5 species